GAUGAACGCUAGCGGGAGGCUUAACACAUGCAAGUCGAGGGGUAAAUGGUAGCAAUACUAUGAGACCGGCGGACGGGUGCGUAACGCGUAUGCAACAUACCUUGUGCAGGGGGAUAGCCCGUGGAAACGCGGAUUAAUAUUCCAUAGUCCAGCUAUAUCGCAUGGUAUAGUUGGUAAAGAUUUAUCGGCACAAGUUUGGCAUGCGUCUGAUUAGCUUGUUGGUAGGGUAACGGCCUACCAAGGCUACGAUCAGUAGGGGUUCUGAGAGGAUUAACCCCCACACUGGUACUGAGACACGGACCAGACUCCUACGGGAGGCAGCAGUGAGGAAUAUUGGUCAAUGGGCGCAAGCCUGAACCAGCCAUCCCGCGUGCAGGAAGACGGCCCUAUGGGUUGUAAACUGCUUUUCCAGGGAGAGAAACUUACGCACGUGUUGCGUGACUGACGGUACCCUGGGAAUAAGCAUCGGCUAACUCCGUG
rnacentral:rRNA from 1 species